rnacentral:sRNA from 1 species
GCCUGACGGAAACCCGGAAGGGCCAAGUCUUGCCGCCCGGCAGGUUUGCGACUUCGGUCUACCAUGUGCUUCAUUUCAGAAGGCUUGUUUACGCAGGGUUUAAACAAAAUCCAAGGCGUCUGCGGACGGAGAAAUGGGCCAAAGGGCGUACCGUCAGAAGAGAUUAUGCUGCCAACUCUUGUGCCACUGACCCACCCCCAUCUCCACCCCCUGUGUCUGCACCCCAAGAGUUUUCUGCAGAGCAGAGUUCUGCCCUUGAACAUAGUGGUCUAAUUCCUUCCACAGUGGGUUCAUUGAGAGCCUACUGCUUACUUAGCAUUGAACCAGUCACUGGAGCUUCGAACAGACAAAAUACCAAAAACCCUGCACUUUACGUUAUUAUCAUCAAUUAAUAUGUACACGUAUUCGUCGUGGAGAUGCUCUUUGGGGUCCAGCAUAGCAUAGAAGGAAGCAAACUCACCGAGAACUGUAUAGUUGUUUCUCACAAGAGAGAAAGGAGAACAUGCUUUAUUACAAACACCUUCUUCUGCCUUAAGAAAAAAACAGUGGAGUGUGUUAAGACCUGGAAGCGACAGUGGGUAGGGCUGGAAGAUUUGAAAGCUUCCUAAGUCGGCAGAGUUGAGGUUGUCCCCAGAGCAAAGGUUGAGGAGUAGAAGUAUUUGACUGGGGUCAAAGAGAGGCUGGAAGUAAUGCUAGAAACUACUUCUAUGAGAGGCUUUGGCUCUGUGCACUAUCUGUAAAUAAAUGGGUAGCCAUUAAAUGUUAGGAGGGUUGUUUAUUUUUAAGAUUAUGGUGAGAAAGAUGGUGUCCUGUAAGAGUGAAAGGCAUAGAAAAAUGAAGACAGCCCAUGGAUUAGAGUUACAUUUCAAUAGUAGACUGUUCAAGAGCUGGCAAAAGAUCAAAUUUAAUUUUCCUUCCUAAUUAUGUUUUACUUAAAUUAUUAUUUAAAUUCAUUGGCAUUCCUGGAGCAACCGAACAACACUGUAACUGAGAGAAGCCAGAUUGCAAAUUAAAAGUGAAUAAUCCCCA